CCGAGUACCGGGGCUCUAGCCCCUGCUCCCACCCUUUGUGAACCUGUUUCUGUUGCUUUGGCGGGCCGGUGGCCUGGCCGCCGCCGGCCGCGAGGCUGGAGAGCGCCCGCCAGAGGGAUUUUCAACUCUUGUUUCUAACAUGGAGCUCUGAGUCUUAGAAGAAAUUGAAUCA
rnacentral:misc_RNA from 1 species